rnacentral:tRNA from 1 species
GCCGCGAUGGCGAAAUUGGUAGACGCAUCGGACUUAAAAUCCGACGAUAUUAAAACAUCAUGAGGGUUCGAGUCCCUCUCGCGGCA